UGCUAUUCUGCGCACUUUAGUAGGAAAGGAAUCUGACUCAUCAGUUCUGAAAUGGCCUUGCUAGCCUCUGGUCCCAGUGAGCAGCAGCGACAAUAUGGAAUGGCAAUGUUUGGAUCCAGUCCUGCAGUCCAAUCGCCUCGGUUCAAUUUGCAUUUUGCAAGUUACAUUCAUUUAUAAUUCACGUUCGGGCACUGGAUAAAAAGCAAAAGCUAUUAUUGCUGAAUGAGGUUGAGUGAGGAGUGGCUUUAUUACCGGGAUAGAUAGACUUUCGAUGAACUCAUUUAAACUCACGAAAGAUCCUGCAAGUGUUUUUCAAAGCCGCAUUAAAGUUUAUAAGCAGCUGCACAGGUGUUUCCCCCGGAUUUAACUCGCCAACGCCCCAGUCCGCUUCAUCGCCACUCCGGUCCCCAUUGGCUCCUGCCGAAUUACCUUCAACUUCCUCCUCAAAUGCCCCCGUUUUCUCCACCCCUGCCCAAUUCCACUAGACUACCGCACUGGCCUGGGAGCUGUUUAAAACAGUAUUCAGUCGAUGCUGAGAAGAAGGGGGUAUAAACAACCGCACUGCUCCUGGCUCUUCUGAAGUGACGGUUCAUCGCUGCAAAUAAUGCACUCAAUUUGCAGGCAGUGGAAUGGCUGGUUAAGCAGCGCUCUGUGCCCGGCACUCGAUGCAGCGGCUGAGAACGUACGUGCUGAGAAGACCAAGUCGGAGAUACCAGAGAGGAACGCGAGGAGAUUGGAUCUUGGACCUCGGAUAGGGGGAGGUGAGAAUUUAGGGAGGUCGGAAGGGAACCGGUGUAAUGGUUUAACCCAAGUAAACACAGUUAAGACACGUCUUUUUACAGAUCACUUUCUGGGUAAAAUUGAGAAUAUAGAAAAAAAAAAAUCUGUAUUCAGCAACCAGUUCACUCAUGAAGUACUUCGUAGGAAGGGAGACGUGGAAGAGGAAUUGGGAGAGUUCCGGUCGGACGAAGGAGACGCAGAGCGAUGUGAACAUUACAUUGAAUCGAACACUAAUUGGCUAGUGGUGUCCACGCAAUUGUCACGAGUAACCUAUCAUGGAUAAUUGGUCAUCUCUUGAUACGGAAUAGUAGGCUACAGCAACGCUUAUAACACAUGCAUAGGUGAUUUAAAGUACAAAACAGUAGGUGCCAGAAGAACAGCAGGGAAAGAGAUGGAACGUAGCCUGUGCCUAGAUAGCCCCUGUGUUGAUAGGCGGUAUGAAUUAAUGUCCUGUAUUGACUGUGGUCAGCCUUGAGGCCUUAGGAGGGCAGCGUAAUCGAAAAACAAAGUCGAGGUAAAGUGGCACGGCGGCGGUAGCUGCAGUGGGAUUGGAUCCAGAUGAAGGUCAGAGAGGCUCAGAGGGAAAGGCGAUAACCACCUACAUUAUCUGGACUGUCUGAAGGGAGGCAGAGACAGACAUGAGCUGUCUACAUCUGCCUCUACCUCCCUAUAUAUUCAUGUCCCAAUGGGAAGUACCAUCUUUACAUACCAGUUAAAUGACCAAAAGUAGGGUUGCCUGUUUUUUGAAGGGGAGGUAUUGGUUUUUGUUAAUAUUAAUAUUAUCUGUUCGAUGUACUAUGUUUGGUUAGGCCUAUAUGUAGGGUGUUGGUCUGCUCAUGUAAUACAGAACAGAAAAUCACUCCAAUUAUAUUCAAAAAAGCGCACCAUUAUAGGGAGUGGUCGUUGGCUAGCUACUGUAGCUACGUCCUUAGCAACAAGAUACAGCAGAGCAACAGGAAUGCUUGCCUUUCCAGUCGGUGUUCCCUCCUACACGUGGGCGGUAACAUCAACGUGUUAUACAGGACUCUGAGAUUACACCAGGAAAAAUUGAAAGGCAGGAUUGGUUUAACUAAUGAGUCGUUGAGUUAAUAAUUAGUCUACAAUAGGCCUUAAUUGAUGUUUUAUUAUUGAAGUACACAAAAGCACAGGGAAUGCAAAGCCCCAAGAAAUAGUUAUAUCAUGUAUAUAUUGAACUAGCAUUCCUUGUCCCUCUAUGUAAAAACUAAGAAUACACCCAGUUCCUACAGUUUUAAUGUUAAUUUAAUUGCACUCGAUGCUGCUGAUAUCAUCUGCCCCCUAAAAUGCCAGCAUAUUCUCCCUGUAAUGCUUUUGCUCUAUUGUUGACUGAGUUGUACAAAGAUAUGAAAUGGAAUGUAGUCAGUAGGACGAGUAGUGUGAAAAUGGGACGCAAUGUUAUGCCAUGAUAAUUGUCAAUUUUUUUUAUCCAGCUGCGCCCAUGUAAAACACACAGUAAUACUGUCUUUGGAUUUUACUUAGAAACCCAGGACUCUCCCAAUAAGGCAUCUUUGAUUUCUUAUUGUUACCGUCAACAGAAGUUAUAUGUACAGUACACUUGUCUCUUCAUGCAUGAACUGCUGAAAGCUUCCAACACGUCAGAAAAAUCCUACUGUACCAGUCUCUACCCUGGCAAUGUUUCUGUCACAGUCAUUUAGACCAUCUCUCCUCUGGACACCCCAUUGUUUUGCGAGUGAGAGAGCUGGAGGGAGGGAACAAGAAAGUGACAGAGCAAGAGGACAGAUAAAAAAUAAAUUGAGAAACGCAGUUAGAGAUGGGCAGAUAAAAAU
ensembl:lncRNA